GACGAACGCUGGCGGCGUGCUUAACACAUGCAAGUCGAACGGAAAGGCCCUGCUUGCCGGGUACUCGAGUGGCGAACGGGUGAGUAACACGUGGGUGAUCUGCCCUGCACUUCGGGAUAAGCCUGGGAAACUGGGUCUAAUACCGGAUAGGAGCCAUUUUUAGUGUGAUGGUUGGAAAGUUUUUUCGGUGUAGGAUGAGCUCGCGGCCUAUCAGCUUGUUGGUGGGGUAAUGGCCUACCAAGGCGGCGACGGGUAGCCGGCCUGAGAGGGUGGACGGCCACAUUGGGACUGAGAUACGGCCCAGGCUCCUACGGGAGGCAGCAGGGGGGAAUAUUGCACAAUGGGCGCAAGGCUGAUGCAGCGACGCCGCGGGGGGGAUGACGGCCUUCGGGUUGUAAACUCCUUUCGCUAGGGACGAAGCUUUUUGUGACGGUACCUAGAUAAGAAGCACCGGCUAACUACGUG
rnacentral:rRNA from 1 species